AUAUUUGUAUUGAUCAGCUAUAUUUCCCAUGCAUUGACAGAGCUUCACCUUGAAUUAAUCGAUGGUCUUUUGGUUAACUUGUUUACGUAUACAUGAUAUAUGUGUAAGGCUUAUGACUAGUGAUGGCGCAGGUGUUGGCUGUCCCAGGAGAUGUAAGACAUGGAUUUAUUUACAAGGGAAAAUUCAACCAUGAAUUCGGACGAAUUACUGGGAUAGCAGCGACAACAAAGGCGAACAUUUUAGUAUGUGACUACGAUAAUAAGAAUCUUAUUUUAUUUGCUCCCACUGGAACUCAUUUCAGGACUCUUAACCUAGACAGUGAGCCAUUUGAUUUGGCUAUUACAAGUCAAAACAUAGGAUAUGUUACUCAACCUAACACUAGAACAGUAUUACAAAUAGACCCGGACCGAAUGGUUAUACUCAAUAAAGUAACAAGCAACGAUUUAUUUUCUACUGUGGUGUGUGCGUCAGCAGUCCCAAACUCUGGGAGGGACAUUCAGAAUAAAGUUCCGUGUUAUCUUGGCGUUAGAGUAAAUGGUUCUUUAUUCAUUUGUCCAGUCAAUGAUUAUGACAUUAUUCUCACAGAUAUACCUGCAAUCCAACAGUCAGACGGAACACUUGCUGAUCCCCGUAUUGUAAAGUUCCAUGCAGCUAAUACCGGUGCCAUUUACUCUUGUAUAGGCGGUCAGAGCUAUAUCAACAUUAAGAAACCCGGAUACCUUAAUUCAUAUGCUAAUUUUACCAUCAAAACUAUGGAUACGCCUACUGAUAUAUGUUCUGAUAACAAUGGACACGUCUAUGUCAGUGGCCAGUGUUCGAACAACAUACACCGACUGACCCAGAACGGCAAAGUUUUAGAUAUACCAUUAGACAGUCAACAUGGUAUCAUACAACCAGUUGCCUUAUGUUUCAACAAAAACUGUACUAAAUUAUAUAUUGUCAUUAAUUGGGGAAAAUGUGUUUUGGUUUUUGAUGUUAUUUGAUAAACGAACAUAAAUAAAAGUUGAUAUUCAGUUUUA